rnacentral:rRNA from 1 species
UACGAAGGGGGCUAGCGUUGUUCGGAAUUACUGGGCGUAAAGCGUGUGCAGGCGGCUUCUCAAGUCAGGGGUGAAAGCCCAGAGCUCAACUCUGGAAUUGCCUUUGAGACUGAGUGGCUUGAGUACGAGAGAGGUGAGUGGAAUUCCCAGUGUAGAGGUGAAAUUCGUAGAUAUUGGGAAGAACACCGGUGGCGAAGGCGGCUCACUGGCUCGUAACUGACGCUCAUGCACGACAGCGUGGGGAUCAAACAGG